GGGCCCGUAGCUCAGCCAGGAUAGAGCGCCGGCCUUCGGAGCCGGUGGUCCCGGGUUCAAGUCCCGGCGGGCCCGCCA
rnacentral:tRNA from 1 species